ensembl:rRNA 5S_rRNA 5S ribosomal RNA
GUCUACGGCCAUACCACCCUGGAAGCGUCCCAUCGAGUCUGAUCUCAGAAGCUAAGCAGGGUCAGGCCUGGUUAGUACUUGGAUGGGAGACCACUUGGGCAUAACAGGUGCUGUCGGCU